rnacentral:rRNA from 1 species
UACGAAGGGGGCUAGCGUUGCUCGGAAUCACUGGGCGUAAAGGGUGCGUAGGCGGGUUUUUAAGUCAGGGGUGAAAUCCUGGAGCUCAACUCCAGAACUGCCUUUGAUACUGAAGAUCUUGAGUCCGGGAGAGGUGUGUGGAACUGCGAGUGUAGAGGUGAAAUUCGUAGAUAUUCGCAAGAACACCAGUGGCGAAGGCGGCUCACUGGCCCGGUACUGACGCUGAGGCACGAAAGCGUGGGGAGCAAACAGG